GGGUGUGAUCAUACCAGCACUAAUGCACUGGAUCCCAUCAGAACUCCGAAGUUAAGCGUGCUUGGGGAUGAGAUUAGUACUAGGAUGGGUGACAUCCUGGGAUGUCCUCGUGUUGCCCCCC
rfam:Nelumbo nucifera unplaced genomic scaffold scaffold00227, whole genome shotgun sequence